GUAUUUUUUUUUACUUUACGGUAACAUUGAUAAUAACAGACAGAAAAAUACUAGACAGUUAUCAAUUUGCUCUUGUAAACAAAAGGUAAGUUAAGAUCGGCUUGUGUUUUCUUUUUUCUGGCUUAGGCAUAAAAAUUUUGUGACGCCGCUCCUGGACCCCUCAUCCGGUGCGAAACGGAGGUAUGGACGACAGGGAGACCUCCAAGCAUCGGCAACGCAAGCGCGGCAUCGCCUCGUCCCUCUUUUCCUGGCCGAAUCCAACCGAUGCAGCUCUAAGAAGAACGGCGGCGCAUAUGCUUCUUUCUGUGGAUGAUAUGAAACUCCUGGCUGAUUUUAAUAUUGUUUUAUUUUCAGGUUUAUGUUUUGUAGGUUUGGUGAUCAAGUGUCAGGAAUCCAGUUAGGUUCGAUUGGUCCAUUGGGAGGUUUGCGUUGAGUUUGGCUAAAUUAAUUUAUUUAGAGGUUUGCGUUGAAUUUGGU